rnacentral:rRNA from 1 species
UACGGAGGGUGCAAGCGUUAUUCGGAUUCACUGGGUUUAAAGGGUGCGUAGGCGGGUUGGUAAGUCCGUGGUGAAAUCCCCAAGCUUAACUUGGGAACUGCCGUGGAUACUAUCAAUCUUGAAUAUCGUGGAGGUAAGCGGAAUAUGUCAUGUAGCGGUGAAAUGCUUAGAUAUGACAUAGAACACCAAUUGCGUAGGCAGCUUACUACACGAUCAUUGACGCUGAGGCACGAAAGCGUGGGGAGCAAACAGG